AGAGACUUAGGAUCAACCAAACCGAGGGCCUUCAAAGCCCUAGACAGGGAUAAUACCCCCUAGUUUCUG
rnacentral:tRNA from 1 species